GACGAACCACCCAAACGUUAUUCGGAAUUACUGGGCUUAAAGAGUGCGUAGGCGGCCUUGAAAGUAGGGUGUGAAAUCCCACAGCUCAACUGUGGAACUGCGCUCUAAACUACAUGGCUAGAGGGAUAUAGAGGUGAGCGGAACUGAUGGUGGAGCGGUGAAAUGCGUUGAUAUCAUCAGGAACACCGGAGGCAAAGGCGGCUCACUGGGUAUCUUCUGACGCUGAGGUACGAAAGCUAGGGGAGCGAACGGG
rnacentral:rRNA from 1 species